CGUCUAAGUACUCGCCUUGUCUAUUAAAGUGAAACCGCGAAUGGCUCAUUAAAUCAGUUAUGGUUCACUAGAUCGUACCUCAUCCUACUCGGAUAACUGUGGUAAUUCUAGAGCUAAUACAUGCAACUAGGCCCUGCCCGGCCGCCUUCACGGGUGGUCGGAAAGGGCGCCAUUAUCAGCCCAAAACCGACCGGGUUGCCCCUUGGGGCUCCCGUCCUUAUACCCUUUGACGACUCUGGAUAACCUUCUAGCGGAUCGCCGGUAAACUAGGUCGGCCGGGCGGUGACGUCCGCGUCCGACUUACGGCGACUAGUCUUUCGAAUGUCUGCCUUAUCAACUGUCGACGGUAGGUUAGACGCCUACCGUGGUCGUAACGGGUGACGGGGAAUCAGGGUUCGAUUCCGGAGAGGGAGCCUGAGAAACGGCUACCACAUCCAAGGAAGGCAGCAGGCACGCAAAUUACCCAAUCCCUGCACGGGGAGGUAGUGACGAAAAAUAACGAUACGGGACUCUUAACGAGGCCUCGUAAUCGGAAUGAGUCCGCUCUAAAUCCUUUAACGAGGAUCUAUCGGAGGGCAAGUCUGGUGCCAGCAGCCGCGGUAAUUCCAGCUCCGAUAGCGUAUAUUAAAGUUGCUGCGGUUAAAAAGCUCGUAGUUGGAUUUGGGUUUUCGGGCCGGCGGGCCGCCGCCUUNNNNNNNNNNNNNNNNNNCCGCGCCCCCGGAACCGCACGGUCGCAGAGGCCCCCCGCGGUGCUCUUGAGUGAGUGUCCGCGGUCUCGGGUCGCCGAACGUUUACUUUGAAAAAAUUAGAGUGCUCCAGGCAGGCCGGUAAAGCGUUUUUAAACCCGCGCCUGAAUAGUCACGCAUGGAAUAAUGAAAGAGGACUGGUGGUCCUAUUUUGUUGGUUUUCGGGAUUUUCCGCCGUCAUGAUUAAGAGGGACGGCCGGGGGCAUUUGUACCGCGGCGCGAGAGGUGAAAUUCUAGGACCGUCGCGAGACGAACCGUUGCGAAAGCAUUUGCCAAGAAUGUUUUCCUUAAUCAAGAACGAAAGUCAGAGGUUCGAAGGCGAUCAGAUACCGCCCUAGUUCUGACCGUAAACGAUGCCACCUGACGAUCCGCCAGGGUUACUACCAUGACUCGGCGGGCAGCCCCCGGGAAACCCAAGCCUUCGGGUUCCGGGGGAAGUAUGGUUGCAAAGCUGAAACUUAAAGGAAUUGACGGAAGGGCACCACCAGGAGUGGAGCCUGCGGCUUAAUUUGACUCAACACGGGGAACCUCACCCGGCCCGGACACCGCGAGGAUUGACAGAUUGAGAGCU
rnacentral:rRNA from 1 species